rnacentral:rRNA from 1 species
UAAUACCGGAUAGUUCCUUGAACCGCAUGGUUCAAGGAUGAAAGACGGUUUCGGCUGUCACUUACAGAUGGACCCGCGGCGCAUUAGCUAGUUGGUGGGGUAAUGGCUCACCAAGGCGACGAUGCGUAGCCGACCUGAGAGGGUGAUCGGCCACACUGGGACUGAGACACGGCCCAGACUCCUACGGGAGGCAGCAGUAGGGAAUCUUCCGCAAUGGACGAAAGUCUGACGGAGCAACGCCGC